rnacentral:rRNA from 1 species
AUUGAACGCUGGCGGCAGGCUUAACACAUGCAAGUCGAACGAGUGGCGGACGGGUGAGUAAUGCUUGGGAAUCUGCCCGAUGGAGGGGGAUAACUACUGGAAACUGUAGCUAAUACCGCGUACCAUAGGAUGAGCCCAAGUGGGAUUAGGUAGUUGGUGAGGUAAAGGCUCACCUAGCCGACGAUCUCUAGCUGGUCUGAGAGGAUGACCAGCCACACUGGGACGGAGACACGGCCCAGACUCCUACGUGAGGCAGCAGUGGGGAAUAUUGCGCAAUGGGGGCAACCCUGACGCAGCCAUGCCGCGUGAAUGAAGAAGGCCUUCGGGUUGUAAAGUCCUUUCGGUGGGGAGGCGUUAACUGCAGAAGAAGCACCGGCUAACUCCGUGCCAGCAGCCGCGGUAAUAC